UACGGAGGGGGCUAGCGUUGUUCGGAAUUACUGGGCAUAAAGAGCACGUAGGCGGCUAGGUCCGUCUGGAUGUGAAAGCCCCCGGCUCAACCGGGGAACAGCAUCAGAUACAGCCUGGCUUGAGGACGGUUGGGGUGAGUGGAACUCCUGGUGGAGCGGUGAAAUGCGUAGAUAUCAGGAGGAACACCGGUGGCGAAGAGCGGCUCACUGGACCGUUUCUGACGCUGAGGUGACGAAAGGCUAGGGGGAGCAAACAGGG
rnacentral:rRNA from 1 species